rnacentral:rRNA from 1 species
AUGAACGCUGGCGGCGUGCCUAACACAUGCAAGUCGAACGGGACUGUUUGUAAAGUAUCUUUUCGGAGUGAUUUCUUACAGGCUUAGUGGCGGACGGGUGAGUAACGCGUGGAUAACCUGCCUUUCACAGGGGGAUAGCAGCUGGAAACGGCUGGUAAUACCGCAUACGCUCAGAGGACCGCAUGGUCUUCUGAGGAAAGAUUUAUCGGUGAGAGAUGGAUCCGCGUCUGAUUAGCCAGUUGGCGGGGUAACGGCCCACCAAAGCGACGAUCAGUAGCCGGCCUGAGAGGGCGGACGGCCACAUUGGGACUGAGACACGGCCCAGACUCCUACGGGAGGCAGCAGUGGGGAUAUUGCACAAUGGGCGCAAGCCUGAUGCAGCGACGCCGCGUGAGUGAAGAAGUAUUUCGGUAUGUAAAGCUCUAUCAGCAGGGAAGAAAGGCCCGCAAGGGAGAUGACGGUACCUGACUAAGAAGCCCGGCUAACUACGUGCC